UCGGGAAUUUUGCCCAAUGAGCGAAAGCUUGAGGCAGCAACUCCGCGUGAGGGAUGAAGGCUCUCGGGUCGUAAACCUCUUUUCUCAGGGAAGAUCCAAGACGGUACCUGAGGAAUAAGCCACGGCUAACUACGUGCCAGCAGCCGCGGUAAUACGUAGGUGGCAAGCGUUGUCCGGAUUUACUGGGCGUAAAGAGCGCGCAGGCGGCUGGUCAAGUCCGAUGUGAAAUCUCCCGGCUUAACUGGGAAACUGCAUCGGAAACUGAUCGGCUUGAGGGUGGGAGAGGGUAGUGGAAUUCCCGGUGUAGUGGUGAAAUGCGUAGAUAUCGGGAGGAACACCAGUGGCGAAGGCGACUACCUGGCCCAUUCUUGACGCUGAGGCGCGAAAGCUAGGGGAGCGAACGGGAUUAGAUACCCCGGUAGUCCUAGCCGUAAACGAUGAACACUAGGCGUAGUCGGUAUCGACCCCGGCUGUGCCGUAGCCAACGCAUUAAGUGUUCCGCCUGGGGAGUACGGCCGCAAGGCUAA
rnacentral:rRNA from 1 species